GCGCAGUCUGGUAGCGCACCACACUGGGGGUGUGGUGGUCACAGGUUCAAAUCCUGUCGUCCCGACCA
rnacentral:tRNA from 1 species